UUCAAUUAGAUGCAUGAAAAUUUAGUAAGAUUUCAUUUGUUUUAACAAUUUAAAAUAUUUUUACAUAUUUCUUUUUAAAUUUGUCUAUCCAAAUAUUCGACGUAUGUUGUGUUUAUGUUUCGUUCACUGUUAGCAAUAUUUCUUAGAAUAAUUCUUAGAAAAUUGAAGGUUUGUGUUUAUGUACGCUCAAUGUCGAUCGAUAUUUAUAUUCCUUCCCAUAUACAUAUAAUCGAAAUUGUGCCGCGAUGAGUCAUUACGUCGUCGAAAUUCGUGCCGAUUAGACGUUUCAAUUCGUAGCAGUUGAUUGCUGAAAUAAUUCAAAGCGGAAAAAAAGAAUAUGGACGUCACAUAAUAACCAUUCGCCAUGAUUAAUUGACGAAGAUAUCUUCUGACGAAGAAUUGAAAAUUUUUGUAACUGCGUAUAAUGCGAUCGGUAGAAUCAGUGUUUGUUUCGUAAUAUCAUUUUCAAUAUUCUUUAGAACAUAAUAAUUUUAAUUAAAUUUAAUCUUUCGUGAAAGUAGAGUCAGUGUUUGUUCGCUAAUUAUAAUUUAAAUAAUAAUAUAAUAUGGCCGUAUUUUUAUUAUUAUUAUUAUUAUUAUAUUAUUAUUUUUUAAAUAUUCGUUUUCGAUAGAAUAGAGUCAAUUAAGGUAAUAAGAUAUCAGACUUAUCGACUGGACGAAAAUGUAUGAAAGUAUUUUCAUUUUAGAUUUCUAGAUGGCGACACAAUUAUGAAUUCGCAAUCGCUAGUAAGAAAGUAUUUAUUUAGAUAAAAAUAUGCACAUAAUGCAAGACUAAAAAGUUGAUUAGGCAAAGGAAUUCG